CUCGUUAGAUCACCGAAGUCAAGCAUCAUUGGGCGCGGUCAGUACUUGGGUGGGUGACCACCUGGGAACACCGCGUGCCG
rnacentral:rRNA from 1 species